UACGUAGGCAGCGAGCGUUGUUCGGAGUUACUGGGCGUAAAGGGUGUGUAGGCGGUUGUUUAAGUUUGGUGUGAAAUCUCCCGGCUCAACUGGGAGGGUGCGCCGAAUACUGAAUGACUUGGAGUGCGGGAGAGGAGAGUGGAAUUCCUGGUGUAGCGGUGAAAUGCGUAGAUAUCUGGAGGAACACCGGUGGCGAAGGCGGCGUUCUGGACUGCAACUGACACUGAUGAACGAAAGCCAGGGGAGCAAACGGG
rnacentral:rRNA from 1 species